rnacentral:tRNA from 1 species
ACGGUCGUUGUGUAGCGGUAGCACGCAACCCUCCCAAGGUUGUAGCCCGGGUUCAAAUCCCGGCGGCCGUA